GGGGCAGCUACCUCAGUCCCCCCUCAGGGGACACUAGCAGUUGGGCCAGUGGAGGAAUUGGUCUGGAAAGGUGGCCUCGGAGAGAACAUGUGCUGACUGUCAGUAAGAGGAGGAACACUUCAGUGGAUGAAAACUAUGAGUGGGACUCUGAGCUUCCAGGGGACUUGGAACUGGUCGAAUCACUGCAGCUGGGGCAGAGAGGUGGUGGCCCCCGGGGCCAGCCUGAACUGAAACUAGACUCCAAGGGACCAGAGGAGUGCACAUGGGGCGCUGGCCACCCUCCUGGGCCAGAGGAACGCUGUGCUGCCCUUCGUGAGGAAUUCUUGGCCUUCCAACGUCGCCGUGAUGCUACCCGGGAACGACUGCCUGCUUACCGAGACCGCAUCAGUCACCCUGAGCAAGCCACAUUGCUAUGAAUGCUCAGUGGUGAGGGGACAAGGACUUAUGGGCAGGGCUGAGCAGGGCCACCUGCAGGGGUACUGGGGGCAUUGAUAAUACCCCCCCAGCUGGUUCCUAGGCACAGACACUGGCUGGGUGGGGGGAAAGAUGUGGGUGACACUAUCUCCCUUAGGUUGAAUUGGGUUUCCCCAGAAGGGCCUCUCCUUCCUCCAGGGCAGAGAGGGAGGAGAUAGGUACAGAGAUCUCAGGGUCUGCCCUUGCCCCUUCUGUGUGAGUGAGGCAUGGGGAAAGUUUUUACAGGCAAUUAAAGAGAG